GUUUAUCUCAGAGGAGUGGAUCUGAGAACACAAGGCUGGUUUGCACUGCUAUAUUAUGAUCGAUUGGUAUAAGGUGAAUUUACUUUGUGUUCUCAGGUCACCCCUUUGAGCCAACC
rfam:Glycine soja cultivar W05 scaffold3914_28, whole genome shotgun sequence.